GGUUUGAGCGGAAAAACUAUACUCCGCUCUUCCUCCAUUGUCGGUAUUGAAUUAAAAUCUCCUCUCUCUCUCUCUCACCGCACACUAUCCUUUUUAUCUCUGCUUCAAAUAAAACCCUAGAUGUAAUUCUAUAUUUCAGUUUCUUGAUUUCUUGAUUGUUGAUAAACCUCUCAGUCAAUCCUCUCAAUUCCUACACUAAACUAUCAUCUGAGAUAUGAGGUCUGAAACCCUAACGAUCGGAUUAUUGUAGAGAACGUGGUGGUUGUGGUUAGUUGUGGAUGAUGGAGGCGACGCUGGUGAUUAAGGUUCUUUCCCUUUUUUUCUUUCACCCUCUUCACAUUUACAAACCCUAAUACACAUAUACUACUUUACUACUUCUUUGGCACAUAUGAACUCUCACCGGCUUAAUUCAAUAUGUUGGUAGAAUCUGUGAAUGUUUGGGCAAAAAUUUAUGCUAUGAGUUACCACAAGUCACUUAACCAUCACAACUUUUAUUUCAAACAACAAGAUUCAAGGAGCUUGAGUACUAGAGAUGCACUAAUACUUCACAAGUUAUACCCAAGUUAUGGAUUGUAAGUUCCGUUCUUGUGUCUAUACGCAGCCUGCUGAUUUUUUCUACGAAAAACCACAAAAAAACGCAGGUUUUUUCAGCGAAAAACGCAACCAGCAACAGCGUCGCUGCAGGUUUGUUCGAUGAACGUUUUCGACGGACGAUGCAGCCUGCAGGUUUUUUUCAGCGAUUUGCAAGUUUUUUUGUCUGGUUUCGGCGAAAAACAACAGCAUGACAGCACAGGUCUGCAGAGAUUAUUAACUCCGUCCGGCUUUAGGCGAAUAUGGUGGCCGGUAGGAUGAACUGCCAGCUGAAGCGACAAAAGACAGCAGCCACAACUAGGUUUUUGUAUGUAAAACCUGAAUUUCUAGACAAGAAGAUGGUUUAUCCAAACUAAAUAGCGGAUACGUGUUUUUAAUGCUUUCUUUAUGACAAUGAGGAGACAAGGAGGAGUAUUGCUACGAUAGGCCAACCAUGAUUGUUUAGGUUUUUGUUCGACCAAAUUGAUCCUCCUAAAGUUCUUUGAGGUAAACCCUAAUAUAUGUGUAUUAGUAUGGUAUAUAUGUUGUUGAUUUUUGUGUAUGAUCUGAGUGUUGAGGAUGGUGAUUGAAUGGAUUUUGCAUGCUUACGUUUACUCUGUUGAGGAUAGUGAUCCGGCAUUAUCUGCUGAUGACUUUGCCGGGUAGGUUGCUAGUGUUUUUGGCUCUAUUGGGUAAAGUUUUCUUUUGCAUACUUUUAAAAUCUUUUUAUAAAUGGAAGAAGUUUAAUACAUAUGUAAAUUGUUGUUCCAUACCAGGUGUAGGUAUGUGCUUAUGGGCUGUUUGGCUAUGUUCUAUUUCAAACACGCUGAAUAAAGCACUUAACUGCAAAUGGAAAAUGAGACAUGUCUAAAUUUACUAAACUGUAUUUGGCAUGGUUUUAGUUAUGACAAAACGUAUUUACGUGUCAGAUUCGAUAUACCAUUUGAGGCAUUAAACCUUUUUUUUUUACAAAAGUAAGGUUCGUAACAAGUGGCGGUGAGCAAAAUAUUGAAUAUUUGAAAUAAACAAAUCGAGAUGAGGUUUCAAUAGUUCAGUUAUGAUUUUUUGGCUGUAAUGGGGAGUGGCUGCAAUGUCAGGUGAUGAUCCAACAUUAUCUGCUGAUGACUUAGCCGGUUAGGUUGCUUGUGUUUUUGGCUAUAUUAGGUAAAGUUUUCUUUUGCAUACUUUUAAUUUUUUUUAUAAAUGGAAGAAGUUUAAUAGAUAUGUAAAUUGUUGUUCCAUACUAGGUGUAGGUAUGUGCUUAUAGGCCAAAUUGCUAUGUUUUAUUUCAAACACGCUGAAUAAAGCAUUUAAUUGCAAAUGGAAAAUGAGACAUGUCUAAAUUUACUAGACUGUGUUUGGCAUGGUUUUAGUAAAUAACAAAACGUAUUUGCGGUUUAGAUUCGAUAUACCAUUUGAGGCGUUAAACCUUUUCAUUUUUUACAAAAUAAGGUUCGUAACAAGUGGCGGUGAGCAAAAUAUUGAAUAUUUGAAAUAAACAAAUUGAGAUGAGGUCUUAAUAGUUCAGCUAUGAUUUUCUUAUAAUUGUCUUUUAUGGUUCAGUUAAAGAAUCCACAAUAGAAGAGUUAAAAAUACCAGUCAUGUCACCUAUGCCUGGGAUUUGGCCCUCGCAUAUUAAUAACCUGUCACCAGAGAUUUACAAGAUUCUCCCCUUGUAUGAAAACGGGUCAAGAAUAUCAAUGAUUAUUUUUAGUGACUACUAGAGUAAAAAAAUAGUUCAAUUUGGCAAAACAAAAUUCUCAUUUCAUCUCAGAUGAUUUAUUAAAGUUAUGUGAUUUACAACAGCAUAAGAUGAGUAUGGCUCUUUCUUACUGUUAUGGUUCUAUUUCUUAGUUACACAGAUGAAUCAUAUAGUUCUUAAGUUGGUUUUUAAUUAUAUUAUAAUUAUAAUAUAACUUUUUUUUUUGUAAUUAUUAUCUUUAUGCAUUUCAAUAACUUUCAGUUCUCUUAUGAUUGUUGUUCUAAACUUUCAUUUUUUAGCAGGUGAUCAUUAUUUUCAUUUUGUUAGGCAUAGUAAAAUAUGCAUAUUAAGAACGUGCAAUAGUAGCUUGAGAGUGUGUUAAGGGUUCUUAUUUAUUAGGACCAUAUGCAUAAACACUGCAAUCCCAUACCCGUGAUUUUUUUUUCAAUCCUUUACUCAACCUCUUACCCGUCGGGUAUCGAGUAUACCUGUCCUAAAUGAUUCAGGUAUACCCACCGGGCUCGGGUUACAAAAUUAGCGAUCCCUACUGAUGUGGUGCCUUAAGUCAAUAUUUUUGUUUUAACUUUGAGCCUUUUUUGUAAAUUUUUUUUGAAAGUUUAAGCUACUUGUGAGCAAAGAAAGAAAUGAAUUCCCAUAGGUAUAAAACUAUGAUUAUAGUUCAACAAGACUUUAGAAGUUACAAUACGGAUGGUGAUCGGUUUAGGUUGUUUUUUAAACUUAAAAACUGACAUGAUGGCCAUUUUUUUGUAAUGUUUAUGUGGGUUUAGGUUAUUUUUUAAACUUAGAAAUUGACAUGAUGGCCAUUUUUUUGUAAUGUUUAUGUGGAUUUAACAUAUAUUAUGGAUAGGGAUUAAAACACAUAUAGUAAAUUCAUUUCAUGUACAUCUUUUGUAACUUUUCAUUUUAUUUUAUAUGGUCUGCAUUAUGUCUUGGCUUGGGUUGUGCUCUUAUUCUAGAAUGGCUAUCAGUCUGGGCUCAAUUACUUCGGUUCUGGUGUGGCGGGUUCUACGCUGUGGAAGGCCCACUAUGGGAUGGGUUUUAAGAAACAGUUGCUGAUGAUGACUAGAGCCCACAAAAUCAGCUGGGGGCACGGUUUCUUGCGUAUUGAAGGCCCAAACCUGGCCUGAUUGUCCUACAAAAAGAACCCGGGUUUGGGAUUUCAGAAAGUGGUUUAAUUUUCAAGCGAAGGCCCAAUACAGGGUUCUUAUUGUGAAGACCAGGGCCCACCUUCGUCGUUUGGGCCUGGUGAUGCUGGGCUUGGUUUACGAGUGGUUUUUAUCAGCGGUGGGUGCCCACUUAUAUAACUACUUAUUGGCUUUGUAGUGGGUGGGAAAUGAUAAAAUGUCUAAAAGCUUCGGUCAGGCUCUAUUUAAUGGAGAAGGCUCAAACAAGGGUUGGGCCACUGAUGGAAAUCAAGCACAUAUCGGCCCAACUUAAAAAUGUCUCGCUAGGCAUGUUUUUUGUGGUUUGUGUAAAGGCGCUAACGAUGAAGAUAAAGAGGACAAAUGUAGUUUACAAAGAAGUUUUUACUGAUAUGUGAUGUUCAUGUACCGUAAUAUUUUAAUUUUUUUAGUUCAGUAUAAGUAUAAUGUUUAUACGUUUA